ACGCUGCCCACGGAGAAGCAGUGGUCGCCGGGGUUCACAGCCCCGGUCAGCACCUGGUGCAGGUUCAUGUCGGCGCCUUAAUCCAGCAACUGUGCAGAACGGCAAGUGGAAAACGCCUCUUCGAGUGAGAUGUUGGCCAAUCCAGAGAUCCAGUCCACCUAAGGCUCCGCCCACCGCUGAGGACAGACCAAUCUCUUUGAGGCUUGUGAGGGACGAUGUGCGUUUGAAUGUUGAACGUAAGGAACCUAGUAAAAACAUAAAGAGCCUUGGAAGAGUUUUCAUAUAGUGUCAAACCUCAGUCCAAAUCAAAUUUUCCAGUGAUGUUUGAGACACCACAAAUGUUCUGAGGCCAUCCCAGUCUGUAUCCAAAACAAUGGGACUACAGUACAACAACUAAUGAAAAGGCCUGUGCCAAGGGACCCACCAAGAGGGGCUUCCAUCCCCACAGCCAACACCCAACAGAUGAGGGAGGUCAGAAGAAAAGAGUUCCUAAUCCUAUAACAAAGACUGAAUCAGGACGACUAUGUUGCUGGAAUUUCAUGUAAGCAUUCUGAACUCAUUAUCUCACAAAAGUAAUGAGGAUCUCUGAGCAUCUAAGAUAUUGACUGCCCCAGAAACCUGCCUGUAUUGCCAACAGCAACCUUACUAUAGAAAACUCCAUCAGCAAUAUUAUAGGUUAAAUAGAUGUUUGAGCAAUGGUAUAGGACCCUAGCCAUUAUUUAUAAUACUGUUACUAUAGAAAAAUUAAUUCCAAUACCUCUAAUAUUUGAAGAUUAAAUACUAUUGGCCAUUAAAUACUAUUGGCUCACCCUCACUUGCUCAACUGGAGGGUUUUCCACCCAUAAACUAUUAAAGGGCAAUUAUUUAUAAAAGCUAGUGUUUAUUAAACACCCGAUCUGUACUGUAAUAGGUAUUUUAUUUAUCUCAUUUAAAUCUCAACAACACUCUAAGGGUAAUAUCUCUGUUUUACAAAUGAAGAAACCUAAACUCAAAGAAAUUAAAUAACUUGGCCAAGGUCAUGUUGCCACCCAAAUAUUUGAACUCAGAUCUCUUGGGCUGCAAAGGCCCUUUAAGUGUUCUCCAAAGCCCCUUAAAUCCCAAAGUGGAUUCAGUCAGGGCCUACUAUUUAUUCCCUAGCUGGCAAGAUGAGAAGAGACAGGACUUCUUUAAGUUGAGUCUUCAGUGAUCAGCUGGUAAAAAGAACCAUCUUCCCAAAACAGUUUUCUCCUCCUUCCACGAGAUGGAAGGAAAGCUCACCUCCUUACCUUGACCCACGCCCAGACUAUAAAGGGCAGCUUUUAUUAAAUGGUAAAAUAAACAUCUCCAACCAGAAAACUCCCUGAUACACAGUUAUAGGUAUUCACUUGGUUAAAGGCAAGUACUUCUUGGAAUGUUUUGGAACUACCAAUAAGUCACAUGCAUCAGAUUGUGGGUCUUCUAACACCUACUGGAGUUUUCAUUAAGGGGGAAGCAGAAGUCAAGAGAUGUAAGUUUGAAAGGCAAAGGAGAGGCCAUGUGGAAGACAGCAGCAGGCAGUUUUGGUUAGCCGGGAGCAACUUGAGAGCAUUGGGCUUUGGGACAGUAAUGAAGUGGAGGGAUUAUUCUAAUCAAAAUCCUGGCAAGUUAUUCUGUGGAUAUUGACAAAUUGACUCUAAAUUUUUAUGGGAGGCAAAAUACCCAGAAUAGCCAAAACAAUAUUGAAGGAGAAAAACAAAUCUGAAGGACUGAUGCUAUCUGAUUUCAAGACUUACUGUACAGCUACAGUAAUCAAGACAGUGUGAUUUUGGGGAAAGAACAGACAAAUAGAUCACUGGAACAGAACAGAGAAUGCAGAAAUAGACUGUGAUCUAUAGUCAACUGAUCUUUGACAAAGGAGCAAAGGCAAUACAAUGGAGCAAAGAUGGUGCUGGAGGGCUUCCGUGGUGGCGCAGUGGUUGAGAGUCCG